rnacentral:lncRNA from 1 species
GCGUCGCCGUGGGCCGAGCCUGGCGAAGCGCUGCUCGCCCGAGAUCGCGCAGCUUGGAAUGAAAAGACGAGAAAACAGCUUCUAUCACCAUGACAGCCACCUGGACACACCUAUCUCUGUUGGCAAGGGGGAGCAUUUGGAAAAUGGUAAGCAUCUUUUCCUUAUUGAUGUACAUCUGGUUGUCCAAAUGUCUGUAUCACUUGAGGUAUAAGCCAGAGAAGGUGGACACACAUGCAGGCAAGUUUGUACCUGGGAGCAGAAAUGCAAAGGCUUUUGCUGAGACCUUUUACAGAGAGAGGGUGCUGCAGUAAAAGCUUCCAACCCCAGCCCUUCUAAUCUGUGUCCAGAAGGAAGUGCUUGGUCCCCAACAGAUGCCUACUUGACACUUGCUGAUGGACAGCUUGUCAAUUUCAUCUAACAAACCGGAAUCACUGGGGCCAUCCAGGAAUCACAGCAGCUCAUGAAGAAAUUCCACAUGAACAGGGCUGUUAAAAGCCAACCCGCCAGAAAGGGUAGAACGGAGGAAGGACAAGAGGGUUCUAACACCUCCUGGAGGCAGGGCACCCACGGAAGUUUCUCAACACUUCUCGUUGAUUCAAGUGGAAGACCUUGAAGAGAGGCCCUUCUGUUUCCCUACACGGUGGACAGCAGAGCUCUGAAAAUUAGAUGCUUCCCCAAACCCAGACUCUCUUGGAACAUUCUUCCCAUGCGGGUGGUAUGAACUGCGUGGCACUGCUGUCCUCGCUGGCAUAUAUAGAUUUACACUCCACGCACGAGACUUCCAAGGCAACACCUAGGAUUUAGAGACUAUGUUCUCAGAGACGGGCAUGGAGGCAACGUCCUGGUUCUCAUGUGGUCAAGAAGGUAGAUGGAGAGAAACG